rnacentral:tRNA from 1 species
GCCGAGAUGGUGUAAUUGGUAGCCACGCUGGUCUUAGAAACCAGUGCCGUGAGGCAUGCGAGUUCGAGUCUCGCUCUCGGCA